GCGCAGAACCCUCUUAAUUAAACUUGUUCUGCUCUCUUUCUGAAGGCUUGCCCUAGCUCUUCUCCUUCCGUCCUCUCUCUUAAACGAUGAUGAUCCCUCUGCCUUUACAUGACAUCUAGUGGUGAAAAACUUGUAUGGUCUUCCCAAAUAUGGAUUUCUUUCUUUUCAAUUGAAGUCAUUGCCAACUGAUUUUCUCUUUCUCAAAGUGGGUAUUGUCUUGAAGAGCCCCCAACAACAGCAGCCGGAACGAUCUUUCCUGAUAUCCUCUGCUCUCCUAUCGACGAGUCCUCACCGUCUUCAACAUCAAUCCCACCGCCGUUUAUUGGCUUCUUCUUUGUCUAAUUGGGUGAACAUCUAAUUCAAUUCAAUUGAGAGGCAGCAAAGUCAGUCCAUCAAUGGUGAGCAAAGUCAGUCCAUCAAUGGUGGACAAAGCUUCUUCUUCAUCUUCCUUGUUUUUGUGGUCCAAAUCUUCAUUUUUGAAUAUUCUUCUGAUGGGUUUUAAGGUAUUUUUUUUUUGGGAAAAAAAAAAAUCAUAACAAACUAAAUUUAGUAUUAUUAUAAAUUAUUGGCCUAAGUUGUAUCCAUCUCCUUUUGGAAUUAAGUUUUAAAAAAGUUUUAUUGGGGCAAGAAAACAGAAUGUCUAAACAAGACUUUAUAUCCCAUUGAUCUUCUUAUCCACAAGUGGAGUGCAAGUUAGCUGUAAAGCUAAUUAAUUGAUAACUAGAGCCAACAAAACAAAACAAUUUUUUUUUUUGAUAACUAGAGUGUAUCAUGUAGAUAAGAAGAAGUGCAGAGUAUGUGUCCAAGGACAAAUGUUAUUUUGAGACUAUACAGCUUAAUCCAUAAUUCUGACUUUUCCAGUUAUGCAGACUUGGUUCCAGCUACACAAGAUGUUUAAGAGAGGGUUUUGUGUUUUUUUUUUCUUCUUUCAUUUUUUUAGUUAUUAUAUAAAAAAUAUAUGUAUAUAUAUAUAUAUAUUUAUCUGACAAGGAGAAGGUGUCACGCCCCGUCUUGGUGUGCACGAAUUGGUUAGAGUGGUGCUGAAAGUCACAUUGACUAGGAGAGUGCCUCCCAGCUUACCCCAAAUUGAUCCAAUAUCUGGGACUUUUUCCCUAAUUAUGCUUGACUUACCAGCUAUUUAUUAAAUUUUUAUUAGUCACUAAAUUGUUUCUUGGGGAUUUUUUUUCCAAUAAUACUUUAAAUUCAACAAGUGACUCGAUGAUCCCUAUUAUUUUGUAUUGCUAAUCUUACAGUUUUAAAAAUACCAAAUUCCAGCUUUAUUUUUCAAAAGAUUACUGAGCUAUUUUAACAAUUUUUUGGUAACCAAUUGUUAUAGAAUGCAACACUUUUGUAUUGUGUAUUUAAGAAAAUCUCUAAUCCCCAACAUUACUGAUCCACUUGAGCAACCAAAAAUGUUGUCAAUUCAAUGGAUUUGUAAAUUUUGUACUAGCUUAAAAUGUUUAGUUGAACACGUAAAGUGCCCGUCCUUUAUAUUUUUGGAAUAUCCCAUUUAUCUGUCUUAGUUGAUUGGAUUGAUAGUUUGGAAUGUUUUCUAUCAUUUGCUUGUUUGUUUCGUGCCGCAGAUCUUCUCUACAAGGACUACCAGAGCGACUAGAAGUUCAGUGUCACUACUUACUCUUCUACUGGUGUUGUAAGAGUUUUUUAUUUUUUAUUUUUAUUUUUUUUUUCCGUUGCUUCUUAGAUUUGUAUAUUUGCUUUUUUGCUUGGUGAGGCUAGAGUUAUCUCUCUAUUUAUUGUUUUGUGUGUAUGGUGUAAUUUGUAGAGUAUUUUUAUAUCUGACUCAAUAUGUUUUGUUCAAAAAGUAAAAGAAACCAGUUCAAUAGAUUUGAUUCAUAUGUUUUUUAUAGCCUUAUAUAUAUAUGCGUGUGAGUGUUUGUAUUAGUUCACAUUUAGAUAAUGAAGUACUAGGAAAUGGGGCUUUUGUUUUUGAUCUCUUAGGUUUUGGCUUCGUCUAACGUUGUGAUAUAUAGAAUGCACAUUUCAAGGAAGGGACUGGAUGGGUUAUGGUGAUGCUCGCAAAGCAUAUGAUAAUAUGGUGGCCCAAUCAAAGGAGCUAGCAGUCCAAUUCCAGUGGAUAAACAAAUAUUGGAGAAUUGUCUUGGAAAAGGAAAGGGCACUCAUUUCCGCGGGUUUGCUUGUGUUCACACAAUUUGGCGCGCAUCGACCUCUGUUCGGUAGCCCACAACAGUAGCAACAACCAUCAACUUAUGGACCAUUUGGCUGUCUAUUAAAUAGUCCUCAGCCACCUAUGUUUGGGGCAUUUGGUCAUCCAUACCAACCAUUUCAAUCCGAGGCUGCAAUACACGAUCAAUAAUUACUGAUUUCAGACAUUGAUGUUUAGAAACUAAGUUUUUGAUAGCAUUUCCUAAUAGCUAGGCACCUAAAUAGGUGGCAGCUGCUGCACCUCUGCCAUGUUUGCAAAUUGUCCAAAGGCAGUAUAAGAUAGUUAAGUGCAAGGCCAAUAAAGUUUUUGAUUAGAAACUAGCAUGAUGUCAUCUUGUGUAUUCUUUUUGACUAAGUUUUUGAUGAUUAUAUAUGAUGUUUUUUGGUACUGUUUUGAGAA